UGUGAUGUACAGUGCUUUGACUGCCCAGCCUGGUCUGUGAUGUACAGUGCUUUGACUGCCCAGCCUGGUCUGUGAUGUACAGUGCUUUGACUGCCCAGCCUGGUCUGUGAUGUACAGUGCUUUGACUGCCCAGCCUGGUCUGUGAUGUACAGUGCUUUGACUGCCCAGCCUGGUCUGUGAUGUACAGUGCUUUGACUGCCCAGCCUGGUCUGUGAUGUACAGUGCUUUGACUGCCCAGCCUGGUCUGUGAUGUACAGUGCUUUGACUGCCCAGCCUGGUCUGUGAUGUACAGUGCUUUGACUGCCCAGCCUGGUCUGUGAUGUACAGUACUUUGACUGCCCAGCCUGUUCCCCCAGCAUGCUUGAAGUGUCAGUGAACGGGAACAAGAAGCUGAAUCGAUUCAAAAUUAAGGGACGGAUGACAAAGGAUUCUUUGAUGGUGUAUUUAUCUGCAAGGAUGAGGAUGUCUGACUUUGAACUAUGUCCAUACAAAGACUAAACAUGGUUAUGGAAAAGGGGUAUGUGGAGCAUCCCUGUGGACAGCAGCUAAAGAGUCGUCAAGGAAAACAAACAACAAAUUUGAUGAAGAGGGACUUGAUGCUGCCAUCUGCCGCCACGGAAUACUUCUAAGGAACCUCAACAUGAUGCGUGGAGAGAUCUUUGCGUACCCACUGUUCUUGCCGAAGGAAUUGUCUGGCAGCAGGAACAUACAAUUCAUGUGUACGGAUGUGAUCUGCAAAUGUUGGCCAAACCUGUCCAAAGUUGCCCUUCAUUGUCCAGAGCUCGCCACUCUUCUAGACAUGAAGCCCCUUCUUUCCGUCAUGCAUACAAAGGCACAUUGUUUGAAAUGCGAGAAGUUUUUCUUUAUUAAACUGUUCAAAGAGAAUUUCCAGCUUCAGUCCUUUACAAGGCUUCCCAUUUAGUCAAUAUUUGUUUGAAUGUAAAUUAAGAUUAAGUGGGGAGGAUGGAACCGGGAAGGAGCUGGCACAACUCUGGGGGAGGAAGUAGAACAAGGGAACAGCUUCUUGUCGAGGGCUGCAAUCUUGUCGAGGGCAAUACCAUCUGCAGAUGAGAUCCUUUCCGCUGACCUUCAUGCAUGGCCUUGGGAGCUGCAUGGACAAACUGACCUACUCACAAAGAAAAUAGCUUUUGACCGGGUGUCGCUCCUGAGACGGCUGAAAAGUUCAUUGUCCUAAAGGAAGUCAAGCAGCACUGGGAAAGCCUAAAGAGGGAAUCGGAGAAUGUGCAAGACCUUGCUUCACAUGUGGCACUUGACCUAGGCAGGCAAGUUAGGGGAAUUUUCAUGAAUAUGUACAAUUGAUGUUGGCACCCUGUAAUUGCUAUUGUAUUUAAGGAAUAGGUCAUUUUAUUUACCCGACACAUUACGAUUGUUGGUGUUAGGCUGGCAAUUGAAUCAGUUGGAACCUGGGAGCAGAGGUCUCUUCUCCAUGCUUCAGAGGAGAGUCAGCAGCCUCAGAAGACACCAGAACACUGUCAUACUGAUAUACAGCAAAGCUAUGGGCCAAGACACCUCCCUCCUAGAAGAUAACUUCAUAGAUGACCCCCUGGAAGAGGACAUCUAUGACAGCAUCCACUACAGCUCUGAUGACGAGGAAUCUGUCACCGACUGAAGAAGUUUGUUUGGGUGGGUGCAGUUUGCACUGGGUGAAAAGUGAUUCUGCCUUCCUAAGGAAGAAUAGUUUGAACAUUUAAUGGAAAAUCAACGUUUGUUUUUUUCUUGUUGACAAUGUGAUCAUGUGGCAUAGAUUUGAGAAGGGCGCUCGUCUGUUACUGAUUUUGCCCGGUUGCAUGACCAGGCCCGAUGCGCCCCUUUAAAUGGACAAUCUGCAGUUGCUACAUCCACUUUUGGAUUCUUGAAGAAUAGUUCAGCUGCCGUAACCCAUCAGAUCCCAAAAUGUUUUUUAUUUUUUACUCCAAUAUUUGUAACCAAAGUAGAUGUAAACAUACACUAGCAUGUGUCAAACUCAUUCCACGGGUGAGCUGAGUGUCUGCUGUUUUUCCCGCUCCUCCCAUGAUUGAUGAAUUAAGGUCACUAAUUACCAACGAACUCCUCUCACCUGGUUGUAUAGGUCUUAAUUGAAAGGAAAAAAACAAAAACCAGAUGACACUAGGCUCUCCAUGGAAUGAGAUUGACACCACUGGACAAUAGCCUCGAAACAUGGUUUAAACUAUGGUUCCAUUUUUCCAGCCCCACCCCUGCUUUUUACAGAACCAUUGGCAGGGAGAAGGAUUUAUUGUUUCACCUGGUGAUUGCCGAUUUAAACAUAGUUAAACUGUAACGUGUGUGCUUAUUAGUUUAGUUAAUAAAAAAAACAGAAGGUUAUCCUUGACUUCAAGUAAUCAUUUGCAUUAUGGAGUACAUUAGUCAUGGGCUUUUAAGUCAACAAUUUCUUAUGUAUGUAUGAGAUGUACAAAUGCUUAACUAGUACUGAGAAUUUUGACCAGUUACUUCUUUACUCUCAAGUCGUUUUCUAGAGGGCUACUUUAAUUGUACUUGAGUACAAGAACUGACUCCCAUCAGCUACAGAUGAAUCUGGUUAGUUGCAAAAUAUUUCCUAUAAUCUACAGGCACUCGCAAUGAGUCAUCAAAAGUAUGGACACAGAAUGAUUGUAUUUUAUUAUGCUGACCCAAUUAUGACCCAAAAGCGUCUGCUAAAUGGCAUUUAUUAUUAUUAUUAUUAUUAUUAUUUUGGGAAGAAUAAUGCAUAGCCCUUGUGUGUUAAUUAAGCUGCAAACUUGGAAAUGUUCCUAUUGAAAUGUGGGUUGUCCCAUCCUGAACAGGCAUACUCUCAUAUAUGACAUACUCUUAACGCUACUAUCAGCGUAUUAUUAUUAGAAUUAGAUGAAAAAAAUGGCACUUAUGCAGGCAGGUCUGACAUAGUGGGAGAAUUGUGAACAUGCACGUAUAUAUCUAUAGCUGCAAAUGUGGUGCCAUUUUGUACGGUUUGUUCUUUAUCAAUAUCUUCGCUGAUAUCAUUCUAAUUGAUGUGUAGAAUUAUAUGUACAUUCAUUGGGACAUACAUAACGCUGUCCUGCAUCAGCAAAUGCCAAUUCAAUG